ensembl:lncRNA
AAAUUUUUCUGUAUUUAAUUUUUUCCAGCUAUAUAAAAAUACUUCAUUGCUGAUGAGUGACUCCAGAAUGACAAACCCGGUAUAUACCUGCACAAAAAACCUGUUCGCUAUUAAACAAGGGCUCGCAACCCAGGCCUUGUGAAAGGCAAAUACGAAACCAAAACAUGUUCAUAAUAGGAGGAGAGAAAGUCCAUGAGGCAGCAGAUGUAAAACUCCGGCUUUCAAUAGACUAGCAAAUAACCAAUGAAAGAAUAAUGACUUGAAAGACGCCGGGCCAAGCUCUGUGCUGGCGCAGCUCCAUCAAAGCUGGUGGAGAUAGGCCAGCAGCGGAUGUUUCCCACUUCGUCAGUCGAAUGUGAAGAGUUUAUUUUCCAAGCCACCCUCCUCUUACUUUAAUUCCCUGUCGUUGAUCGAUGGGUGUCCCAAAGAUGCUGAGUGGAGAAAGCUGUCUCUUACAGAACUGGUACUUCGCUGAAUGAAAACAAAAGGUCUCCCGUCUGGAAAUGGCAAGGAGAUUUCUUCAAGCAGCUGCCAAAAAAAAAACAGAUAAAAGAAAAAUUAUAAGCUAGAGGCUGCGCUUUCUGAGGACGCUGCCAAUUUUUUAAAAGGAUAAUCCCAGUAGAUAUGGCAUUAUGCGACAAAAGUCCUGUUGUGGAAAUACUGCCAAUUUUUUAAAUGUCGGCAUUUAAUCUCUUGGCAGUAAUGUGAGUCAAACUGCGCUUUUAUUUUUAUUUUUUUACAGUCACUAAUAACAUAUUUGCAUACUUUGCAGCAGCAACAUAUGGUCUGAGGAAGGUUAAUUUGCUCUGCAAUUAAUAGUCAGUGGUACAUGAAGCCACGCAAGGCUAGUAGGGACCAGACCGACAGAAAGCUGCUGAUGUUGGAGCACGGAGAGGAGGGGAACCUUUGCCAAGCACCUGACUCUGCUGCAACCUGAUUUUCCCUUCAGAGCAGCUGAUAAAGGCAACAACAGAAAAUGUUACAGAAUUACAAGUCCCUUGUCACUGUCACCCCAAAAGUCACUUGCUGGGAAGGGGAAGUGGCAGUGCCAGGAAGCACAGCAGAUCCAGCUCUCUGAGCUGCCUGGAGGACACAGCACAUGUCCCCUGCUCUCUGAAGACCAGGCUCCACACCAUGGGACCGAGAUCCCCGUCACGUUGCUCUGAUAGAUGGAAGCCCACUUGGGAGCUGUCUACGGGGUGGACCAGAGCUGAAUCGGGCAGUUCAGGCUCACUCUCAUCCUCUUUGGGCUUUUCUCUUCCAGCAAGCACUUGUUAGUCAGUCUUGGCACAGAAACAAACAGGCAAUGGUUGAGGUUGGUCCUCAAAGCAGGCAUAAGCUCUCCUUACCUUUCAGCAAGGAUCUGGCCAGCAAUUAAUUUCCCAGCGGAGUUCUGCAGCAGAUCCAGGCUUUCCUACUUGGUCUGUGAGUAGCAAGCCCAAGGCUUGUGCUUGUUUUCACAAGGAAGCUCCUUCAGGCUGCGCCAUAGCUGGGGAAUCAGCGGGUAGGUUUGAAAGAACUGCAGAAUUGCUCAAAAGCCUGCAAAAUCACGGAGAAACAAAAGUCACGGGAAAAGCAUCCAUUACCCUGACCUUUCCCCUUAAACACAAG